ACGAACGCUGGCGGCAUGCCUAACACAUGCAAGUCGAACGAGACCUUCGGGUCUAGUGGCGCACGGGUGCGUAACGCGCGGGAACCUGCCCUUAGGUUCGGAAUAACUCCCCGAAAGGGAUGCUAAUACCGGAUAAUGUCUUCGGACCAAAGAUUUAUCGCCUUUGGAUGGGCCCGCGUUGGAUUAGCUAGUUGGUAGGGUAAAAGCCUACCAAGGCGACGAUCCAUAGCUGGUCUGCGAGGAUGAUCAGCCACACUGGGACUGAGACACGGCCCAGACUCCUACGGGAGGCAGCAGUGGGGAAUAUUGGACAAUGGGCGAAAGCCUGAUCCAGCAGUGCCGCGUGAGUGAUGAAGGCCUUAGGGUUGUAAAGCUCUUUUACCCGGGAUGAUAAUGACGGUACCGGGAGAAUAAGCUCCGGCUAACUCCGUG
rnacentral:rRNA from 1 species